AGCGAACGCUGGCGGCAGGCUUAACACAUGCAAGUCGAGCGGGCAUAGCAAUAUGUCAGCGGCAGACGGGUGAGUAACGCGUGGGAACGUACCUUUUGGUUCGGAACAACUGAGGGAAACUUCAGCUAAUACCGGAUAAGCCCUUACGGGGAAAGAUUUAUCGCCGAAAGAUCGGCCCGCGUCUGAUUAGCUAGUUGGUGAGGUAAUGGCUCACCAAGGCGACGAUCAGUAGCUGGUCUGAGAGGAUGAUCAGCCACAUUGGGACUGAGACACGGCCCAAACCCUUCCGGAGGGCGGAAUGGGGGAUUAUGGGACAUUGGGCGCAGGCAGAAUCCACCCUGGCCGGGUAGUUGUUGAAGGCCUAGGGUUGUAAAGCUCUUUUGUGCGGGAAGAUAAUGACGGUACCGCAAGAAUAAGCCCCGGCUAACUUCGUG
rnacentral:rRNA from 1 species